GAUGAAGAACGCAGCGAAAUGCGAUACGUAAUGUGAAUUGCAGAAUUCAGUGAAUCAUCGAGUCUUUGAACGCACAUUGCGCCCCCUGGUAUUCCGGGGGGCAUGCCUGUCCGAGCGUCAUUGCUGCCCUCAAGCACGGCUUGUGUGUUGGGCCUCCGUCCUCCUCCCGGGGGACGGGCCCGAAAGGCAGCGGCGGCACCGCGUCCGGUCCUCGAGCGUAUGGGGCUUCGUCACCCGCUCUUGUAUGCCCGGCCGGCGCUUGCCGACACAUCAAUCUUUUUUCCAGGUUGACCUCGGAUCAGGUAGGGAUACCCGCUGAACUUAAGCAUAUCAUAAGCGGAGGA
rnacentral:misc_RNA from 1 species